rnacentral:rRNA from 1 species
UACGUAGGGUGCGAGCGUUGUCCGGAAUUAUUGGGCGUAAAGAGCUCGUAGGCGGUUUGUCGCGUCGACUGUGAAAACCUGGGGCUUAACUCUGGGCCUGCAGUCGAUACGGGCAGACUUGAGUUCGGUAGGGGAGACUGGAAUUCCUGGUGUAGCGGUGAAAUGCGCAGAUAUCAGGAGGAACACUGGUGGCGAAGGCGGGUCUCUGGGCCGAUACUGACGCUGAGGAGCGAAAGCGUGGGGAGCGAACAGG